UGCGUAGGCGGUGCGGUAAGUCUGUUGUGAAAUCUCCGGGCUCAACUCGGAGUCUGCAACGGAAACUGCCGUGCUGGAGUAUGGGAGAGGUGAGUGGAGUUCCCGGUGUAGCGGUGAAAUGCGUAGAUAUCGGGAGGAACACCUGUGGCGAAAGCGGCUCACUGGACCAUUACUGACGCUGAUGCACGAAAGCUAGGGGAGCAAACAGGAUUAGAUACCCUGGUAGUCCUAGCCCUAAACGAUGAUCGCUUGGUGUGACAGGUACCCAAUCCUGUCGUGCCGGAGCUAACGCGUUAAGCGAUCCGCCUGGGGAGUACGGUCGCAAGGCUGAA
rnacentral:rRNA from 1 species